AGUAAGAGAUGUUUAUGAUCAAAACAUCUGGAAAGAGUUGGAAAGAAUUGAUGCCAGUUUAGCCGAAGUGUACUUGAAUGCUGUUGGUUUGUUACUCCGGGUAUAUUUACGAGGUGGGAUUAAUAUAUUUGGGGACCGUUUAAAGAUCCUAGCUGAUCGUCUGACAGAUAAAGCAUUCUGGUAUCUUGAAUGGCACCUGGAUGUAUUGGUGUUAUGGGCCCUAUCCUAUACAGGUGAAGUUUCUAAAGCAGAAGAGUUACUCGAGGGUUUGAAGUCCAGAAUUUCUACCAUGACCAAGAAAAAACGAGAAUAUAUGCAAAGAGCUGUGCUGCUUGCAGAAGUGUUAUUCGAAUAUGGUAAGGGUGAAAAUGAACGGGCAUUGGAAUUGCUCGGACAAACAUUUGAUGCCAUUGACUACAAGAUUAUUGGAGCAUCAGACGAGCAGCUUGAUGUUUUUAAUGAAGUUUGGAUCACUAUGUUGCUAAACAGUGGUCGGGCUACAAAAGCUAUUGAGGCAAUAGAGAUGCAGCUAAAAAAGAGGGAAGGAACCCCGUUCUUGUGGCGCCUCCUGG
rnacentral:misc_RNA from 1 species